GGAAAAGUCAUGUGGGACAUGAUGAAGAGAGAUUUUAAGUGUUUUCACACUUUCAUCCAGCUGGUAUGGAAGUAAUGUGCUUAUCAUGAGAACUGAAGGGAACAGAGAGAGGGUGUUCCGUGAUGUAUCUGCAGAGGGGACAAAUUGAUCUCUGACAGUUCCAGUUUCACCUCCCAGCUAAAAAGGGAUGGGGUUGGCACAGGAACCCAAGUUUUGGAUGGAUGAUAUUGGGCAACUCAACCCCUUUUCCUCACUCCAGGAAACCAUAGGCUUUCCAUUUCUAUGAGGAAGGCCAGAUUUCCACUGCUUUACUGAAGAAGGAAAGAUCAAAUGGUCUUUCUGAAGCUCUUCCUACUUCCAGUUUCUAAUUCUCUCACUCAGCUCUCAUGGGUUCAAAAGUAUCCCCGGAGCUGAGGUCAAGGUGUAUAUAAAGAAUAAGAAUGGAAAGAGCUGCCCACAUUCAAAGAAAGAGCUCAAAAUAAAAUUUCUGGUGUUAAUAUGAACCUUGUUUAUCUCAGUAUCAGUGACAAUGAAAUUCAUGUGGAAGUGUACACAGCAGUGUUAAUAUAGUAGACUUAAAAAAACCUCAAAGUGUGUUUUCUCCUGUUUUUUCUAUGAACAAGUCCAGGCUUUAUUUCUGAUGGCAGUUCCACUGUAUAUGACCAGAUGGGAUUCUAGUUGUCAUUUGUCAAUACACCUGUGGAUUUCUCAGCUACUUUAAAAUGAGAAGUUGAGUGCUUAAUUUGGUGCUUCUAUCUUCAUGGGAGAGUUAAUAAAGAUAAUUUUCACAUGACCUCUUUGAGGCUGACACUAGACUCAUUGAAUCAUAGCACUAACACAGGAUUUGAGGUAUGGCCUCACCUGUGUACAGGAGAACAAUCACUGCUCUGGUCCUUCUGGCCACGCAAUUUCUGUGUGGAUGUUUUUGGCCUUCUUGGUCACCUGGGCACACUCUGGCUCAUGUUCAGCUGCUCUUGACCAACCACCUGUGGUCCUUUUCCUCUUGGACACUUUCCAGCCACUCUUCCCCAGCCUGUAGCACUGCUGGGGUUGUUGUGAUCCAAAGGCAAGACCCAGCAUUGGCCUUGUUGGCCCUCAAAAAAUUGGUUUCAGUCUCAGUCCAGCCUGUCCAGACCCCUCUGCAGAGCCUCCCUGCUCUCCAGCAGAUCAGCACUCCUGCCCAGCUUGGUGUUGUCUGUGAACUGACUG